ensembl:lncRNA
GAACAACGACGUUUACAUCUUCGAUACGCUUCAAGAUGGCUUCUCCCGUAGACGGCUCUCUGGUCUUCACGUUGGUUUAUCCGUUUUAACAACGAAUGCAGUCUUCACAGGCGAAACCUAGGACUCAAACCAAGACAUUCGAGAGAGACAAGUAUACGAGAGGAACGGUGGAGGUGAGCAGACGGAGGAGAAACACAACGACCGAGACAGUCAAUUAGUUUUGCCUCUUUGCGGCGUGUCACCUGCAGACAGAAACUUCAUUUCCAGUGAUUAAAUUCCCCAAAAAUAUUUCAUCUGUCAGUGUCACGGCCACCGACGUGUCCUGCGCACUCAGCCGUG